rnacentral:tRNA from 1 species
GCCAGUGUGGUGUAGUGGUUUGAGCAUUGGACGAUGACUCUGGAGGCCUGGGUUUGAAUCCCCACUCGGUCA